CUGCAGCUCAAGUGGUAGCCGCUAUUAUUGGGCCUAAAACGUUCGUAGCCGGUUUAGUAAAUGCUUGGGUAAAUUGUGUCGCUUAACGAUACGAAUACCGGGUAGACUGCUAAACUUGGGACCGGGAGAGGCUAGAGGUACUCCUGGGGUAGAGGUGAAAUUCUGUAAUCCUGGGGGGACCACCAGUGGCGAAGGCGUCUAGCUAGAACGGGUCUGACGGUGAGGGACGAAGCCCUGGGGCGCAAACCGGAUUAGAUACCCGAGUAGUCC
rnacentral:rRNA from 1 species